rnacentral:rRNA from 1 species
UACGUAGGGGGCUAGCGUUGUCCGGAAUCAUUGGGCGUAAAGCGCGCGUAGGCGGCCCGGUAAGUCCGCUGUGAAAGUCAAAGGCUCAACCUUUGAAUGUCAGCGGAUACUGCCGGGCUAGAGUCCGGAAGAGGCGAGUGGAAUUCCUGGUGUAGCGGUGGAAUGCGCAGAUAUCAGGAGGAACACCAACGGCGAAGGCAGCUCGCUGGGCCGAUACUGACGCUGAGGAGCGAAAGCGUGGGGAGCGAACAGG